UUCGCCGGAGGAAGCGGGCUGGGGACUUUCGGCACUCCGGGGCUGUCCCCAAUGACGCCUGACUCCGACGCACCACUGCACCAGGGCUUGAUAAUGAGGACACUCGGCGGGGAUUGAGUGUGAACGUUAUAGUCCAGAGGACCCCUCUUUGUGUCCCUCUUGCCAGAAAUAAGAAGGUUUUCUUGGACUUCUAGCUGUCUUCCAUAGCAGCAAUAGCUGACUGGGGCCCACACUGGGGCAAAGAGACCCAAAGAUGGAUUCUCCCGGACAGCCGUGGCUUGCCUCCGCCUGCUGGACCAACAAUAGGAGACCAAGGACAACUGGCUGAAUCCACCCAUCAGGACCAGCUUUCACAGGAACUCACCGAUGACAUGGAACGUAUCGCAGAUUCAUUAACAUCCCUUCAGAUACAACUCUCCAGUCUGGCAGCAGUAGCCUUCCAGAAUGGGUGAGACCUAGAUCUCCUCAUUACUGAAAAGGGAGGAACCUGUCUCUUCCUACAGAAAGAAUGUUGCUACUAUAUCAAUCAGUCUGGAUCUUCAUUUCCAAGGUUCUCGAGCUCCAGGAACACAUCCAGUGUUGUCAAGAAGAAAUCACAUCUUGGGGUUUCAACCCACAAUCAUGGACAUCCUGGCUAUUACCCCUAGCAGGCCCUUUAUUGUCCUUACUCCUCCUAGUUAUCUUCGGUCCUUGUCUCCUCAACAGCUUCGUCUGUUUCAUCAGAAAUUACCAUCUCUCAACACAGGACUACCUCCUAUCCCCUUGCCCUCCAAGGGGAUAGGAGGGCAAGGAUACGGGCAGUCCUGUAUUGAGAGGCAUUAUUGCUGUCCUGCUUGGUUAAGAAAAGAAAACAAGUUCCCUGGGAUGAUUUAGCACUCUCUUGAGAUGCUUCCGUAUAGAUUAUACUUCCGCAUAAAGGGGGCCAAUCAGACCUGAGAGACCAUGAAUAGCAUCCUGUUACCAUCCCCCAUCACCGGUAACCAUAGAAACUCACCCCUAACCCUGUUGGGUGCUCAGUCUUUGGGGAACAAUCCCACUGAGCCCACCAUUGAAAAUAAAGCUGUGUUCUUCCAGAUUUCCAUGUGCCACUUGAGUUUCGCUGGUAGCUUCAGAUUUUCCCCAGCAGUAUCACUGGUAAGUGGGUACCUUCUGGCACUAAUAACUGAGCUCUCUUACAUUUGCAAUAUUGAGUCUACCAUAACUUAUAUUAAGUCAUAUUACAGGUCUAUUAGGAAAAGAUCUGUUCUUGGUUCUAGAAUUAACUGAGAGUUUAAGGUGGUAAUGAUCCAGUCUCUGAGGUUUACAUUUGUAGAUUCAAGGAGAAUUUUCUAAAAGUACAGAUAAAUUGAGCAGAUUUUAUUUAUACAUGGUUAGUCGUAUUCAGAAAAAAAUCUGUUAGUAACAAUGGAAAAUAACUUUGUAUAAAGUUCCAACUCAUUAAUUCACUACAAGAGUCAUAAUUGAGAUACAUUAAAAUAACUUUUUUUAGUUGACCCGAAUUUUUUCCUUAAUUAUGGCAUGUAAUCCUUGUGUUCUAAAGUAUCUGUAAUUACAACUUAAUAAGCAACCAUAAAAAUAUUUGCUCUUGAAAUAAAUAGGUCUUACUCAAACAAAAAAGUAAGGAAUUUAAAUAAUAAUGUAAAAUAGUAUGUUUAACACUCAUACCUAAAAAACUCUGUAAUUUUAAUCUGGGAAUUUGUGGAAAGUAAAAUUUAUUAGGUCGUGAGGACAGCAGUGACUUUAGGUAAAGUUGUGGAGUAUAUGAAGUUGUGGCUGGGCUUAGUGCAAUCUGUGGAGAUAUUGCAGGAUAGAGGGGAGGGUGGUUCUAACCUCUAGAAAGGGACUCAGAAUUUAGAAAUGGAGUAAUAAAAUACCAUCAUUUAGAAGCAAGAUUGGAAGGAUUAACAUGCAAUUGAUUAAAUCAGCCUUUUGAAAAUAGAAUUAACUCACUCUAACAUCUGAUUUGUAGUUAUAAUAUGAAGGUGAACAAAAGUCUCCUAAAGCCAAUCCAUAUUCCUGAGGGAAUUCUUUUACAGGAAAUAAUAGCUUCUAUUUAUUGAUCACUAUAUAUUCAGUAGUGUGCUAAGAACUUUACAUCCAUGAUCACAUUUAGAAUCCUGCCAAUCUUUAGGAAAGAUAUUGUUAGCUUUGUCUAUUGAUGAGAAAUCAAGGUUUAGAAUUAUAAUUACCUUGUGCAGGGCUAUAAAAUGUAACAUAUGGUGACUCAAGUCCAAUCCCAGCUCUAUUACAUGUUAACUAUGUGACCUUAGGCAAUUUACUUGAUCUAUAUUUUGUUUCUUCACAGAGGAAAUAAAGAUGAUGUUAAUAGUACUUGUAUUUUAUUUUUUUUUUUUAAGAUUU